UACGUAGGGACCGAGCGUUGUCCGGAAUCAUUGGGCGUAAAGAGCGUGUAGGCGGCCACUUAAGUCCUGCGUGAAAUCUCCCGGCUCAACCGGGAGGUGCGCCGAAUACUGAGUGACUAGAGUGCGGGAGAGGAAAGUGGAAUUCCUGGUGUAGCGGUGAAAUGCGCAGAUAUCAGGAGGAACACCGGUGGCGAAGGCGGGUCUCUGGGCCGUAACUGACGCUGAGGAGCGAAAGCAUGGGGGAGCGAACAGG
rnacentral:rRNA from 1 species